UUUAUUGAAUCUCUUCUAAAUGCUUUUAUAUUAAUAAUGUUGGUUUUCCAACUAUGACGAUAAACGAAUUUCGUAAUAACCAUUGCGGACGUGGGGGCAGUACCCACCACCUCCACCAUUACAACUUAUGGGGGUGAACUAGAUUCGACGAGUGACUAAAGGCUAUUCUUUUGUUCGGGAUUGUUCCACCGUGACGGGCUAAUUUAUAAUUGCUAACGAAAGUUACGCACUUGCUGCCUAAUUAACUUUGUUAAUUAAGUAGACGGGGUCCGGGGCACCUGGCAACAGAACGCCCCUAAA
rnacentral:tmRNA from 1 species